rnacentral:rRNA from 1 species
UGGCCUACGGGACGCAGCAGUGAGGAAUAUUGGUCGAUGGUCGGGAGACUGAACCAGCCAAGCCGCGUGAGGGAUGAAGGUACAGAGUAUCGUAAACCUCUUUUGUCAGGGAACAAAGGCGGGGACGUGUCCCCGGAUGAGUGUACCUGAAGAAAAAGCAUCGGCUAACUCCGUGCCAGCAGCCGCGGUAAUACGGAGGAUGCGAGCGUUAUCCGGAUUUAUUGGGUUUAAAGGGUGCGCAGGCGGUCUGUUAAGUCAGCGGUCAAAGCCCGUGGCUCAACCCCGGCCCGCCGUGUGAACUGGCG